rfam:Rhizoclosmatium globosum strain JEL800 BCR33scaffold_48, whole genome shotgun sequence.
GCCCUUAUAGCUCAGUGGUAGUAGCGUUUCCCUCGUAAGGAAAAGGUCGACGGUUCAAUCCCGUCUGAGGGCA